UCCAUGGGGUUGCGAUCACCCCACGAGGCGACAGCCGAAGCAUCGCGUCCGAUAAACCGCCAGGCGGAGGACGCGCCAUG
rfam:Sinorhizobium meliloti 1021 complete chromosome